AUGUAUCCCGCUAAUCACAAGACUGUAUUUGUGUUGGAUCAUACCCCGUACUUUGGAAUUUCUACAGAGUGUCCGUUAGAAUUUGAUUUUCUAAAGGGCAGAGGCCAAAAUCUGAUUCCAUUAGCACCAAUUUGCAAAUCGCUAUGGACUACUAGUGUUGAGGCCUCAUUGGAGUAUUGCCGUAUUGUAUGGGACCUGUUUCCCAUGGGCAAAUUGAUUAGGUUUGUGGUGACAGACCGUGCUGCCUAUGUACUAAACUCAUGGAGCCCGUCCCAGCAGAACUUGAAUCAUAUAAUGAAUGGCACUGCAAUCUUGGGAGUGCCGACAAAGACACCAGAACCUGGAGAAGACUAUUCAGUAGUACAUGGCUUACGUGUGGCAAUUGGGACUCUGAAUGAGUGUUCUGAUAUACAACAUGAGAAAAGAACAUCUUUAAAUGAAAACACUAAUAAUCUAAUAAACAGGGGCAGAGUUAUAUGUAUCACGAGUGCACGUGACGAUAGUAAUAUGAAGAGUUUGGAAAAUAUAUUUCUAAAUGAAUUAACGCAGGAAAAUAAGACUGCAUUAGCUUCGGACCAUUUGAUACCCAUUGAUUAUUGUCACUUGGUUAUACUAAAUAUAUUUCCCAAUAAUAUCGAACCACAAGUCACUAGUCAAGGUCCACGAGAGAUCUCACCGUUAUUAACAGUGGAAGUGCAUUCGAUCAAAGCUUCGGCUCUUUACUCCAAGUUAUCGCAUCUUAUUUUGUCUCAUUAUGAUCUAGCCAGUACCACGGUGACUGGUAUACCUAUGAAGGAAGAACAAAAUGCCAGCUCAUCUGCCAAUUACGACGUUGAAAUAUUUCAUUCUUCCGCUGCGCACGCUGUUAUAUUAAGAGGAAACCCGCAAGACUCGGCGCUAAUAAAAACUUUCAGACGUUUCGAAGAAGGCUCGGAGUACGAGACUGUAACACUCAAGUGGUGCACACCGCGCGGCUGCAGUGCAUCGGAGAUGCAAAAUUGCACAGCGAUGCACCGGAUAACACCCGUGGACGUUAACAGCAGACCAUCUUCGUGUCUGAUCAAUUUCCUUCUAAAUGGCAGAUCAGUGAUGCUUGAAAUGGCCAGAAAGACUGGUGGAAAGACCAUCUCUCACUUGUUAGCAGCACACGGGGGCGAAAUCUUUAUACACACUCUGUCCACCGCUAGAAGUGUACUUGAAGAUCCGCCUUCCAUAAGUGAAGGUUGCGGCGGUCGCGUGACCGAUUACAGAAUAACCGAUUUCGGAAAUCUCAUGCGAAAUAAUAUAUUAGUGCCACUGAAACGCAUUGCCAAUGACAAUAGCGACGGUCCGGUGGAGAAGAUGAGGUCCAGACUAGAACGCUACACGAAAUACUGGCCUAUCGCCAUCUCCAGUACCCUCCUGUUCAACGUAAAGACGGUGAUAGAUCCGCUGCCGGAACUUAUGGUAAAGGAAAAGCUCACUACGGAAGAAGUGCUGCAGUGCAAGCAGAUACUGUUCAGUUUGCUCCAACUAGAAGCGAAGCAUGAGGCAUUACCGUUGCCGAAUAUCGGCGGAAUCCGCGGUGGCAAGAGUGUGAGACGAGAAGAGCAGUAUCGUCUGCUAUGGGGAGAGGUGGAAACGUUUCUGAGACAUCACGCGAACAACUCGGCCGCGCAUACCGAAAUACUCGACUGUCUAAUAGAUAUUAAAAGUAAAGAUGAUAAGAACAAAGUAGAGUUGGACCAAGCCUUGCGAGAACUCGACGGGUUUGGGAAAGAAGAUGGAGCCGCAGGCCGGGUGAAUGUGAUCAGAGCGACGACGGACUCACCGAUGUCCCCGCCGACGUGCGCGUCGACUCUGAAGCAGCCGCCCAAAAGCAAGAGUCUGCUGGACAUCUGGCUGGAGCGCAGCGCGCCGAAAACCCCAAAGAUCGAAUUCAACGGUAGACUCAACAGCGAUGGUCUCAAGGCGAAGCUCUAUCGCAAUCUGAAGGAGACCGGGAGGGAACCCAGAGAGCCCAUUCUGGAAGGUUAAUUCCCCGACGCGAGGAAAUGCCAAGGACUUGCCGAGUGCCGGCGACGGGACAGUGUACGAUAUAUCGCGACGUAUCGCGUUGUAAAUACAAGUGAUUUUUCAUCUCGGCGGUACUGGCGGAUUUGUUGAACUGAAUUCGACGACUAACAGUUGUUGCGGACAGCUUCAUAUUGACAAUUGUCGAUUGAUAUUGUAUAUAGAACGCGCUCGACCAAUUAGUGUUUACAUUGAACGACAAACAUCUCCCGAAGCGACAAGAGCCACAACCGUGUGACCUCUCGGUGACUGCACACAAGCUGAGAGAGAAAUUCGAGAAUUCAAGUAGGACGUAAAUUGGAUUUACUUUCGAUCUUCGAAGCAUUUGGAUUGCAUUCGGAGAUACCUUGACUCGGUCAUUCAGCAUGGCUGAGCCUUAUCAACGUCGCGCGAAGACGCGCACACCUGCGUGUGAGAAUACAUGGGAUGAGAGCAUAACGAAAGUAGUACAUCAUUCUUACCA
rnacentral:misc_RNA from 1 species